rnacentral:rRNA from 1 species
GCGGCGUGGCUAAAACAUGCAAGUCGAACGCGAACGUUCCCUUCGGGGAACAAGUAGAGUGGCGAAAGGGCGAGGAAUACAUGGGUAACGUGCCUCGAGCACGAGGACAGCCGGGGGAAACUCCGGUUAAUACUCGAUAAGACCACAGCACCGCAGGGUGCAGGGGUCAAAGGGUGGGGACCUUCGGGCCUGCCGGCUCGAGAGCGGCCCAUGUCCUAUCAGCUUGUUGGUGGGGUAACGGCCUACCAAGGCUACGACGGGUACCGGGACUGAGAGGUUGACCCGGCGCAUCGGGACUGAGACACUGCCCGGACUCCUACGGGAGGCUGCAGUAACGAAUAUUGGGCAAUGGGCGAAAGCCUGACCCAGCGACGCCGCGUGUGGGAAGAAUGCCUUCGGGUUGUAAACCACUGUCAGGGAUUACCAACCAACCGGUGUGAAUAGCGCCGGGAGUUGAGGAGUCCCAGAGGAAGUCACGGCUAACUUCGUGCCAGCAGCCGCGGUAAUACGAAGGUGGCUAGCGUUGUUCGGAAUCACUGGGCUUAAAGAGCACGUAGGCGGAUGAUCAAGCGUCUUGUGAAAGCCCUCGGCUCAACCGGGGAAUUGCUUGGCGAACUGAUCAUCUUGAGGCAGGUAGGGGCGAGUGGAACUCUUGGUGGAGCGGUGGAAUGCUUAGAUAUCAAGAGGAACGCCAGAGGCGAAGGCGACUCGCUGGGCCUGACCUGACGCUGAGGUGCGAAAGCCAGGGGAGCGAACGGGAUUAGAUACCCCGGUAGUCCUGGCCCUAAACGAUGUCCACUAGGUCGGUGAGGUUCUAAUGCUUUGCUGGCCGAAACAAAAGC